GACAGGGGGUGCAAACGUUGUUCGGAAUUACUGGCGUAAAGCGCGUGUAGGCGGCCAUGCAAGUCGGAUGUGAAAGCCCUCGGCUCAGCCGGGGAAGUGCACUCGAAACUGCAAGGCUAGAGUCUCGGAGAGGAUCGUGGAAUUCUCGGUGUAGAGGUGAAAUUCGUAGAUAUCAGGAGGAACACCGGUGGCGAAGGCGGCCACCUGGGAACGAUAACUGCGCUGAGACGCGAAAGACGUGGGGAGCAAACAGGG
rnacentral:rRNA from 1 species